rnacentral:rRNA from 1 species
GACAACGGCUGGCGGCGUGCCUAACACAUGUAAGUCGAGCGGGGUUAACCGCAAGGGUUAACCUAGCGGCGGACGGGUGAGUAACGCGUGGAUAACCUGCCUCAAGGGUCGGGAUAACAGCUCGAAAGGGCUGCUAAUACCGGAUGUGAUGCACUUUUCGCAUGGAGGGUGUAUGAAGGGGAAACCCGCCUUGAGAUGGAUCCGCGUCCCAUCAGCUAGUUGGUAGGGUAAAGGCCUACCAAGGCGACGACGGGUAGCCGGCCUGAGAGGGUGACCGGCCACACUGGGACUGAGAUACGGCCCAGACUCCUACGGGGGGCAGCAGUGGGGAAUAUUGCACAAUGGGCGAAAGCCUGAUGCAGCGACGCCGCGUGAGCGAAGAAGGCCUUCGGGUUGUAAAGCUCUGUCUGGAGGGACGAAAGAAAUGACGGUACCUCCGGAGGAAGCCACGGCUAACUACGUG